UGAGAACACAGAACCUCACCAUGGGAUGGAGCCAGAUCAUCCUCUUUCUGGUGGCAGCAGCUACAUGUGUUCACUCCCAGGUACAGCUGCAGCAAUCUGGGGCUGAACUGGUGAAGCCUGGGUCCUCAGUGAAAAUUUCCUGCAAGGCUUCUGGCUACACCUUCACCAGUUACUAUAUGCACUGGGUAAAGCAGCAGCCUGGAAAUGGCCUUGAGUGGAUUGGGUGGAUUUAUCCUGAAAUGGUAAUACUAACUACAAUCAAAAGUUCAAUGGGAAGGCAACACUGACUGCAGACAAAUCCUCCAGCACAGCCUAUAUGCAGCUCAGCAGCCUGACAUCUGAGGACUCUGCAGUCUAUUUCUGUGCAAGACACAGUGUUGCAACCACAUCCUGA